rnacentral:rRNA from 1 species
CCUUGUACACACCGCCCGUCACACCAUGGGAUUUGGUUUGACCUUAAGCUGGUGCGCCAACCGCAAGGGGGCAGCCAACCACGGUCGGGUCAGAGACUGGGGUG